ACGCUGGCGGCGUGCCUAAUACAUGCAAGUAGAACGCUGAAGAGAGGAGCUUGCUCUUCUUGGAUGAGUUGCGAACGGGUGAGUAACGCGUAGGUAACCUGCCUUGUAGCGGGGGAUAACUAUUGGAAACGAUAGCUAAUACCGCAUAACAAUGGAUGACACAUGUCAUCUAUUUGAAAGGGGCAAUUGCUCCACUACAAGAUGGACCUGCGUUGUAUUAGCUAGUAGGUGAGGUAACGGCUCACCUAGGCGACGAUACAUAGCCGACCUGAGAGGGUGAUCGGCCACACUGGGACUGAGACACGGCCUAGACUCCUACGGGAGGCAGCAGUAGGGAAUCUUCGGCAAUGGGGGCAACCCUGACCGAGCAACGCCGCGUGAGUGAAGAAGGUUUUCGGAUCGUAAAGCUCUGUUGUAAGUCAAGAACGAGUGUGAGAGUGGAAAGUUCACACUGUGACGGUAGCUUACCAGAAAGGGACGGCUAACUACGUGCCAGCAGCCGCGGUAAUACGUAGGUCCCGAGCGUUGUCCGGAUUUAUUGGGCGUAAAGCGAGCGCAGGCGGUUUGAUAAGUCUGAAGUUAAAGGCUGUGGCUCAACCAUAGUUCGCUUUGGAAACUGUCAAACUUGAGUGCAGAAGGGGAGAGUGGAAUUCCAUGCGUAGCGGUGAAAUGCGUAGAUAUAUGGAGGAACACCGGUGGCGAAAGCGGCUCUCUGGUCUGUAACUGACGCUGAGGCUCGAAAGCGUGGGGAGCGAACAGGAUUAGAUACCCUGGUAGUCCACGCCGUAAACGAUGAGUGCUAGGUGUUGGAUCCUUUCCGGGAUUCAGUGCCGCAGCUAACGCAUUAAGCACUCCGCCUGGGGAGUACGACCGCAAGGUUGAAACUCAAAGGAAUUGACGGGGGCCCGCACAAGCGGUGGAGCAU
rnacentral:rRNA from 1 species